rnacentral:misc_RNA from 1 species
UCCGGGGUUUCCCCGGCAGUCCCCUAUGAGUGCUCGGCAUAACCCGGUCGCAACAUAGGGCGGGGGUUGCGCUCGUUGCGGGACUUAACCCAACACCUCACGGCACGAGCUGACGACAGCCAUGCAACACCUGUGAACCAGCCCCAAAGGGGAAACCACAUUUCUGCGGCGGUCUGGCCCAUGUCAAGCCUUGGUAAGGUUCUUCGCGUUGCAUCGAAUUAAUCCGCAUGCUCCACCGCUUGUGCGGGCCCCCGUCAAUUCCUUUGAGUUUCAGCCUUGCGGCCGUACUCCCCAGGCGGGAGACUUAACGCGUUAGCUCCGACACCGAAGGGCUCGAUCCCCCCGGCAUCUAGUCUCCAUCGUUACGGCGUGGACUAC